UUUUUUCCGCUUGAGUUGACAUCUUUGCAGCUUUGUAUGUUCUGAAAUAUUUUCCCGCACGUUCGUCUUGGAUAUAUGGAUAUAUUUAAACCAUGUUUGGAUAGAUACCCAUCUCUUGUCGAUGGCUGAGGCUAACUGAAAAACAUGGGAAAUAGCUUUGGGCAUCUGAUUUAAAUAAAUAUUAGUGUAAAAGCUUUGGGCAUCUGAUUUCUAAUCCAUGUACUUAUGUAACUGACGUUUCAUUUUUUUGCUCCCAAGUAAUUGAUGCGUACAUAAUUUCUCAUCUAUUUGCUCCCAAGUAAUUGACGCGUGCAUAAUGCCUUGACGGAGGGGAGGGGGUCUGAUUUCUUCAACCAUCAGAAAUCUGUUUCUGACAACCUUGCAGCUUUGGCAUAGAUUGCUUAUUCAGGCAAAGAUUGUGGUUCUGGUUGAGUACAGAAAUAAGGAUCUUAAUCAUGUGGAGUGGGCCAAGGCGUUGAAGGAGCUCUACUUACCAGGUUUGAGGGAUUAUGUUAAGAGUUUCUAUCCACUUGGACCACUGUGGAGUUUCUGUAGCAAAGCUAUUGUCUCUGCUGCGCCUAAAUCCCCUGCACCAGCUGCUCCUGCAACACCCCCACCACCUCCUGCUCCUUUCUUCUCAGAUCUAAACCUUCCUCUUCAAAACCAAAGCGAAUGGAAGAACUUGAAAGUGAAACGAGAAGAAUGAGGAAAGAUCUAGACAAAGAAAAGGUACAAGG